AUGCAACCCCAAUCCACUCCCAGUCCAUAUCUGGUGCAGUUCUGGUCCCAGCUGUAAUCCAAAAUCAGUCCCAGCCCAGUCAGGGUCUCAGCUCUGUCCCAGUCCAGACCAAUCCCAGUCCCAGCCACGGUUCUGGUCCCAGUGCCAAUCCCAGUCCCACUUCAGCCCAAUCCAGUCCCAGUUCUCUUCCAGUCCUGGUGUCAGUCAGAGCCCAAGUCCCAGUCCCAGUCCAGCCCAGUCCCAGUCCCAGUCCCAGUCCCACACCGUUCCAGCCCAGUCCCAGUGCCAGUCCCAGUCCCACCCAGUCCCAGUCCCAGUCCAGCGCUGUUC